rnacentral:rRNA from 1 species
UACGUAGGGUGCGAGCGUUAUCCGGAGUUACUGGGCGUAAAGCGUUUCGUCGGCGGAAGUGUAAGUGUAGGGUUUAAACCUGGGGCUCAACCCCAGAUCGGCUCUGCAUACUGCAUUUCUUGAGGGUGUUAGAGGAAGUUAGAAUUCUCGGUGGAGGGGUGAAAUCCGUAGAUAUCGAGAGGAAUGCCAAGGGUGAAGACAGACUUCUGGGACACAUCUGACGCUCAUGAACGACAGCUUGGGGAGCAAA